UACGAGGGGAGCAAGCGUUGUUCGGAUUUACUGGGCGUAAAGGGCGCGUAGGCGGCCACGACAAGUCACUUGUGAAAUCUCCGGGCUUAACUCGGAACGGUCAAGUGAUACUGUCGGGCUAGAGUACGGAAGGGGCAACUGGAAUUCUCGGUGUAGCGGUGAAAUGCGUAGAUAUCGAGAGGAACACCUGCGGCGAAGGCGGGUUGCUGGGCUGAUACUGACGCUGAUGCGCGAAAGCCAGGGGAGCGAACGGG
rnacentral:rRNA from 1 species